rnacentral:rRNA from 1 species
CAAUCCGCUGACGAGUGGCGCACGGGUGCGCAACGCGUAUAGAACCUACCCUGUACAGGGGGAUAGCCCAGAGAAAUUUGGAUUAAUACCCCGUAGUACCUAUUAGAGGCAUUUUUAAUAGGUUAUAGUUUUCGAACGGUAUAGGAUGGCUAUGCGUCUUAUUAGCUAGUAGGUAAGGUAACGGCUUACCUAGGCAACGAUAAGUAGGGGCCCUGAGAGGGGGAUCCCCCACACUGGUACUGAGACACGGACCAG